CUCCUACGGGAUGCAGCAGUAAGGAAUAUUGGUCAAUGGAGGCAACUCUGAACCAGCCAUGCCGCGUGCAGGAAGACGGCCUACGGGUUGUAAACUGCUUUUGUACCGGAAUAAACCCAGAUACGUGUAUUUGGCUGAAUGUACGGUAAGAAUAAGGAUCGGCUAACUCCGUGCCAGCCGCCGCGGUAAUAC
rnacentral:rRNA from 1 species